rnacentral:rRNA from 1 species
UACAGAGGGUGCGAGCGUUAUCCGGAAUCACUGGGUUUAAAGGGUACGUAGGCGGUCUAAUAAGUCAGUGGUGAAAGGCCAUCGCUCAACGAUGGGACUGCCAUUGAUACUGUUAGACUUGAAUUAAGAUGAGGCAGGCGGAAUGCGUCAUGUAGCGGUGAAAUGCAUAGAUAUGACGUGGAACACCAAUUGCGAAGGCAGCUUGCUGGGCUUAUAUUGACGCUGAGGUACGAAAGCGUGGGUAGCAAACAGGAUUAGAUACCCUGGUAGUCCACGCCCUAAACGAUGCUUACUGGGUUUGCGGCGGAAUAGUUGCGAGCCUGAGGGAAACCAUUAAGUAAGCCACCUGGGAAGUACGCCGGCAACGGUG